UGACCCUGAACCCACUCAAGGUUCUCCUCAAAAACGUUCCUCAAGAUGAAGCCACUCGAGGUGCUCCUCAAAAAAUUCUUCUCAAGGUGACCCUUAAGAUGCCCCUGAACCCACUCAAGGUUCUCCUCAAAGUUUCUUCUCAAGAUGCCCCUGAACCCACUCGAGGUUCUCCUUAAAGAUGUUCCUCAAGGUGAAGCCGCUCGAGGUGCUCCUUGAGGUUCUCCUCAAAAUUUCUUCUCAAGAUGCCCCUGA